GACGAACGCUGGCGGCGUGCUUAACACAUGCAAGUCGAACGGUAAGGCCCUUCGGGGUACACGAGUGGCGAACGGGUGAGUAACACGUGGGUGAUCUGCCCUGCACUUCGGGAUAAGCCUGGGAAACUGGGUCUAAUACCGGAUAGGACCACUGCCUGCAUGGGUGGUGGUGGAAAGCUUUUGCGGUGUGGGAUGGGCCCGCGGCCUAUCAGCUUGUUGGUGGGGUGAUGGCCUACCAAGGCGACGACGGGUAGCCGGCCUGAGAGGGUGACCGGCCACACUGGGACGGAGAUACGGCCCAGACUCCUACGGGAGGCAGCAGUGGGGAAUAUUGCACAAUGGGCGCAAGCCUGAUGCAGCGACGCCGCGUGAGGGAUGACGGCCUUCGGGUUGUAAACCUCUUUCAGCACCGACGAAGCGCAAGUGACGGUAGGUGCAGAAGAAGGACCGGCCAACUACGUGCCAGCAGCCGCUGUAA
rnacentral:rRNA from 1 species